GCGUGGAAGAUGCUGCGUCGGCGACGGAGGAUGAGUUCGCUGCUGCCGGCGAGUACGACGAUGAAGCGUCCUCGAGGAAGCGCGCAAGGUACGAAUGAAUUGAAUCGAGUUUCAUUCGGUCAUUCAUUCUGUGCUAAACUGCUACCUUAACUGCAAGUUUAGAUUCUUUACCUUGGGCCAUGGUAACCCCGGCAGAAAUGGAACAAACAACCUGUACAUAAUUAGCAGUGCUAUCAGAUGAUGGACAAAUUUCUUUUCACGAAAAAUUGAUGUAGAAAUUAACUCGAUUGUGUACUAUAUAUCUACGUGCUUGAUCUUUCGUUUCUGAAAGUGCUUGAUCAUCUUUUUCACUGGGCCACUUAUAGCAUAUGCUUGUAGUUUAGUCUGUUUGUCUUCUCUUUUAUGAGAAGGAUUUGUUGCUGCUAUUUCCGGUGCUGCCUCAGGCAGAGGAAGGACACCGCCGCGGUGCCACGCGAAGCAGAGCUGCGGGCAACGCCGAGGACGCGUGCCAUGUCGUCGAUCGGGUGCCGGCGCCUUGGCCACCACCGGUUGCCUCCCUGCGUCACAAUGUGCAUCUCGGCCUGAUCGAUCGAUUGGUUUGGGGAGGAAAAAUGGCUCUCACCG
rnacentral:lncRNA from 1 species